UACAGAGGUCCCAAGCGUUGUUCGGAUUCACUGGGCGUAAAGGGUGCGUAGGCGGUCGGGUAAGUCUGACGUGAAAUCUUCAAGCUCAACUUGGAAACUGCGUCGGAUACUAUUCGGCUCGAGGAAUGGAGGGGAGACUGGAAUUCUCGGUGUAGCAGUGAAAUGCGUAGAUAUCGGGAGGAACACCAGUGGCGAAGGCGACUUCCUGGCCUGUUCUUGACGCUGAGGCGCGAAAGCUAGGGUAGCAAACGGG
rnacentral:rRNA from 1 species